AGGGUAACAGCUCAGUGGUAGAGCGCGUGCUUAGCAUGCAUGAAGUACUGGGUUCAAUCCCCAGUAGCUCCA
rnacentral:tRNA from 1 species